CAGGGAAGGCAUUGAGUUAAAAUGAGGUGUUCUAAUAAGAACUUAAUUCCACAGACCCUUUGGUUAUGAAGUGCUUCAGAGUGUAUAUAUAUAUAUAUAUGGGCAUUUAUAUGUGUGUAUAUAUAUAAAAGGUGUGUGUGUAUAUAUAUAUGGGGUGUGUGUGUGUAUAUAUAUAUAGAUCACGUUUUCUUUAUCGCAUAGCUUUUGUAAAAGGGGUCUUUCUCUUGUCUUAUUGCUGGAGUAGCUUAAUAAUCAACCUUCUGAAUUCUUUU
rnacentral:lncRNA from 1 species